rnacentral:misc_RNA from 1 species
GCAAGUUUAGCUUGGUUCUUUAUUUUUGGAUGCUCUCAUUUUAAAUAAGUUAUGGAUUAAUUUAAUUCUACAAAUAAGGUACAUAUCUAGACUGUAAAUUAUUUAUGUAGUUCAUGUUAUAAACAUAUGAUUAUAUGGUUGAGUAGUGAAACAAAUAUGGUGGAGAUCCUAGGGUUAUACAAAUGCCAAUUGUAUAAGUAGUACUAAGGAUAAUAAGUCAACUGAGUGUCCACUUUAAGUGGAGGUUUUAUUUCUUGGGCAUCAAAGAAACAAA